rnacentral:rRNA from 1 species
ACGCCGCGUGGAGAUGAACUUUUCGGAACGUAACUCCUUUGGUUAGGGAAAAUAUGACGGUACCUAACGAAAUAACCACCGGCUAACUCCGUGCCAGCAGCCCGCGGUAUUACGGAGGGUGCAAGCGUAACUCGGAAUCACUGGGCGUAAAGGACGCGUAGGCGGAUUAUCAAGUCUCUUGUGAAAUCCUAUGGCUUAACCAUAGAACUGCUUGGGAAACUGAUAAUCUAGAGUGAGGGAGAGGCAGAUGGAAUUGGUGGUGUAGGGGUAAAAUCCGUAGAGAUCACCAGGAAUACCCAUUGCGAAGGCGAUCUGCUGGAACUCAACUGACGCUAAUGCGUGAAAGCGUGGGGAGCAAACAGGAUUAGAUACCCUGGUAGUCCACGCCCUAAACGAUGUAUACUAGUUGUUGCUAAGCUAGUCUGGGCAGUAAUGCACCUAACGGAUUAAGUAUACCGCCUGGGAGUACGGUCGCAGAUUA